rnacentral:rRNA from 1 species
CCUACGGGUGGCAGCAGUGGGGAAUAUUGCACAAUGGGGGGAACUCUGAUGCAGCGACGCCGCGUGAGUGAAGAAGUAUUUCGGUAUGUAAAGCUCUGUCAGCAGGGAAGAAGAAAGACGGUACCUGACCAAGAAGCCCCGGCCUACUACGGGCCAGCAGCCGCGGUAAUACGUAGGGGGCAAGCGUUAUCCGGAUUUACUGGGUGUAAAGGGAGCGUAGACGGCAGGGCAAGUCUGGAGUGAAAGGCCGGGGCCCAACCCCUGGACUGCUCUGGAAACUGUCCGGCUGGAGUGCAGGAGAGGUAAGCGGAAUUCCUUGUGUAGCGGUGAAAUGCGUAGAUAUUAGGAGGAACACCAGUGGCGAAGGCGGCUGACUGGACUGUAACUGACGUUGAGGCGCGAAAGCGUGGGGAGCAAACAGGAUUAGAUACCCUUGUAGUC